UCGUAGGUGAACCUGCGGAGUGAGCAUUAC
rnacentral:rRNA from 1 species